CCAGCUCCAAUAGCGUAUAUUAAAGUUGUUGCAGUUAAAAAGCUCGUAGUUGAACCUUGGGCCUGGCUGGCCGGUCCGCCUCACCGCGUGUACUGGUCCGGCCGGGCCUUUCCUUCUGGGGAACCUCAUGCCCUUCACUGGGCGUGUUGGGGAACCAGGACUUUUACUUUGAAAAAAUUAGAGUGUUCAAAGCAGGCCUUUGCUCGAAUACAUUAGCAUGGAAUAAUAGAAUAGGACGUGUGGUUCUAUUUUGUUGGUUUCUAGGACCGCCGUAAUGAUUAAUAGGGAUAGUCGGGGGCAUCAGUAUUCAAUCGUCAGAGGUGAAAUUCUUGGAUUGAUUGAAGACUAACUACUGCGAAAGCAUUUGCCAAGGAUGUUUUCAUUAAUCAGUGAACGAAAGUUAGGGGAUCGAAGAUGAUUAGAUACCAUCGUAGUCUUAACCAUAAACUAUGCCGACUAGGGAUCGGUGGGUGCAAUUUAAGGCCCCAUCGGCACCUUAUGAGAAAUCAAAGUCUUUGGGUUCCGGGGGGAGUAUGGUCGCAAGGCUGAAACUUAAAGAAAUUGACGGAAGGGCACCACCAGGAGUGGAGCCUGCGGCUUAAUUCGACUCAAC
rnacentral:rRNA from 1 species